UCGGGAAUAUUGCACAAUGGAGGAAACUCUGAUGCAGUGACACCGCGUAUAGGAAGAAGGCCUUAGGGUUGUAAGCUAUUGUCGUGUGAGAAGAAAAUGACUAUCACAGGAGGAAGCCCUGGCUAAAUAUGUGCCAGCAGCCGCGGUAAUACAUAUGGGGCGAGCGUUAUCCGGAUUUAUUGGGUGUAAAGGGUUCGUAGGCGGGAAAGUAAGUCAGUAUGUGAAAUCCCUCGGCUCAACCGAGGAACUGCGAUUGAAACUAUUUUUCUUGAGUACUGGAGGGGAAAGUGGAAUUCUUAGUGUAGCGGUGAAAUGCGUAGAUAUUAGGAAGAACACCAGUGGCGAAGGCGACUUUCUGGACAGUAACUGACGCUGAGGAACGAAAGUGUGGGGAGCAAACAGGAUUAGAUACCCUGGUAGUCCACACUGUAAACGAUGGAUACUAGGGGUUGGCAUAGGAAAUGUCGGUCCCGCAGUUAACGCAUUAAGUAUCCCACCUGGGGAGUACGACCGCAAGGUUA
rnacentral:rRNA from 1 species